UGAUUAAGCCAUGCAAGUCGAACGAGUUUAGACUCSUGGCGUACGGCUCAGUAACACGUGGAUAACCUACCCUUAGGACCGGGAUAACCUUGGGAAACUGAGGAUAAUACUGGAUAGGCAAUUAUUCCUGUAAUGGUUUUUUGUUUAAAUGUUUUUUCGCCUAAGGAUGGGUCUGCGGCCGAUUAGGUAGUUGGUUAGGUAAUGGCUUACCAAGCCUUUGAUCGGUACGGGUUGUGAGAGCAAGAGCCCGGAGAUGGAACCUGAGACAAGGUUCCAGGCCCUACGGGGUGCAGCAGGCGCGAAACCUCCGCAAUGUGAGAAAUCGCGACGGGGGGAUCCCAAGUGCCAUUCUUAACAGGAUGGCUUUUCUUUAGUGUAAAAAGCUUUUGGAAUAAGAGCUGGGCAAGACCGGUGCCAGCCGCCGCGGUAACACCGGCAGCUCUAGUGGUAGCAAUUUUUAUUGGGCCUAAAGCGUCCGUAGCCGGUUUAAUAAGUCUCUGGUGAAAUCCUGUAGCUUAACUGUGGGAAUUGCUGGAGAUACUAUUAGACUUGAGACCGGGAGAGGUUAGAGGUACUCCCAGGGUAGAGGUGAAAUUCUGUAAUCCUGGGAGGACCGCCUGUUGCGAAGGCGUCUAACUGGAACGGUUCUGACGGUGAGGGACGAAAGUUAGGGGCGCGAACCGGAUUAGAUACCCGGGUAGUCCUAACUGUAAACGAUGCGGACUUGGUGUUGGGGUGGCUUUGAGCUGCUUCAGUGCCGAAGGGAAGCUGUUAAGUCCGCCGCCUGGGAAGUACGGUCGCAAGACUGAAACUUAAAGGAAUUGGCGGGGGAGCA
rnacentral:rRNA from 1 species